AAUAAAAUAUGGAUGUGAAUGGAAGUUGAUGUUUGAAGAUGGGUAGAUUUUCUUCAAACAAGUUUUGAAGGAGUAAAGAAGUUCUCUAACCUAUUCAUCAGCACUUUAAUGUUGAUGUAGUUAUUUACUUCUAAAUGACCCAAUAACCAUAAUAUCCAGGGCACUGAGUUUGCUUAUGCAAUAUAAAAUAAAUAAGUAAAUAUUGGAAAGACAUUUCAAUUUCAUUAAUCGGCUGAGUUCUCAUUAUAUUUUCAGCCUAACCAAGAGAUCCCAUGGACUACUGAAAAGAUAAGUUCAAAUAGCUAAUUAAUCCCCAAGAUGGAGUCCUUAACCAACUAUUACCUUUAUCCUCACUAGUGGUAAUCAUAUGACAUUUUCCACAAAUCACUGAAAAAAUGUUGCAUCAGAAUUCCCAGAUCACUGUGGACAACAUAGAAUCAUGAUUUCUAACUAUCAAUUACUGUUAAUAGUCAAGCCUGGGAGUAACAGAAGUCCUGCUUAGGAAAGAAAAAGCUUUUCCAAGGGUCAAAUUCUGCCAAACUGGAACACCUAGAUCAUACCUGCACACAGACACAAGAAUGAGUCACUGGAUUUUUCAAUGUUGAGUAGUUGUUUUUAUUUAGAAAAGCAGGCAGAGGGUACUCGAAAUUCUAUUAGGGCAGUUGCUGUGGGGAAGAGAUAUUUAUUUCUUCUUAUGGCUCCUCCAGUCUAAACUGCUCACUAUAAAUCUGUCCAAUUAGUGCUUAAACCAUUUAUUUACUUAACAUACUGCUUAAAUGAGCAAAGCUAAAAAACAGGAAUACACAGGAUAUUUCCGCCUUCCUGCAAUAAUCCUUGGGGUAUGAAUAAAACAAGUAGAACUCUUUCAGUUGAUGCCUAAGGGACUCAUUAUUUAGUCCGGAAAAGCUAAGUUUUAAUGAUGAUUAUUAAGCCCAAGAAUAUUUUCCAGAGGAGGAAGGCAUAUAGUCACCGUUUGUUUCAUGAUUCACUAUGGUUGAAAAAUCUUGGAACUCUGAAACUUCCAGAAAAAAAAAUCAGAAAGAAAGAAAGAAAUUGUUACAAUGAAAUGUUAGAAAUUCUGCAUGUUUUGUUCUGGCUACAAUGUUACAAGAUACUUGAUAUAAUAAAACAUUGUAGUUAUUUUACAUCUUGCAUGUAGGUAAAAUGAAUGACAGUUUUGGCUGUCAAAACCUAAUUUUUUUUAACAGCAUUUCCUAUAAAAAACAAUUCAGUGUUUUUUUUCCCCCAUUUGGGGGGGGACUGGAUCAGACAGGAUUUUCUUAAAGUGGCUUAGAGUCAAACCAACAGGAGCAGAGGACAGAAGCAAUUUAAAUAUUCAAUGUAGGUAUGCCCUGAUGGAGGAAACAAAUAUUCUCGUAUAAAUAUGCAUGAGGUUACUUCCAAAAACAAAUCAUGAAACCAAUAAAAUAGACUUUUUGGAAAGCUAUUGACUUACUGGAUGUAUACGUUUUUGGUUAUUGGUAUUGAAAAUACACAGGAACAAAACAAUAAAGAUAAUAUUUAAAAGGCCAUGGCUUGUUUUUCUAGGUUCAAGUGGAGAAAGUUAGGUCUCUUUUUCAUCAAGAAAAGGAAAAAAAAUAGUUUUAAGCCUAAGGUAUCAUUUUAUUAUGAGAUGCUACAAAUAUAAAGCAUCCCCUUCUGACAGCAUUUGGAUUACCUCCUCUAUUCCUAUAAACUCUUAUUUGGAGCCAGUAAGUCUAUUAUUUUAAAUUUAUUUCCAUUGCAAGUGUAUAUUUUUUUGAAUCAAAGCCACCACUGAGGAUUUCUGAAUGUAUCAAGUAUUGUAUGAAGGAAAAAUGAUGACCAUAUAUAGCUAUUUAGUUUUGUCCUAACAUUAAAAGAAACAAUACUUCACCUUGCCUUUUAUAAAGAAAAGUCUGAAUUACUUUUAAAGACUUAUGUGUUACGCAACUGAUUGAGAACAUAAUUGUCAGUUUUCAAAUUUAUGAAUAUGAACUUACAAGUCACUUCCAACUUGGCAGAAAGAAAAAAAGACCACAUGGUGUAAUCUCACAAUAAAACAUAAAUCUAUUCUGUAUCCCAUUGAGAACUUUGAAGUCCAAUAAUAGACAUUACCAUCAAGUUGUUUAUUUUUUCUCUUCUAAAAUGAUCUUCAGCAAAAUGGUAUAAUUAAUUCAGCAUUCUUUUUUCCAGAAUCUACAGUAUUGUUUAAAGCUACCUUAAAUGGUAAACAGCUUGGUCAAUCCUGAUAUGCAUCAAUUAAUGCAAAUUGGAGUGAUGGACCAAAUUUUAGCAGGCUGAAAACAAGAAUUAAAAAAGAUAUUUCCCCCAAAAACAGAAAAUCAAAAAAAAACCCCACACAUACAUAGAAACCAACCUUAUUGAAACAUCAGAGCACUGCAAAUGUAGUCAGAUUUCUCUCAGUUACCCUUUAAGAUUAGAAUUUCUGAUAUUUUUAUCCCAAAGAACUCCAUAGUAUUUAAAAAUCAACUGAAAGACAACCACAGAGAAGAUUAAGUCCAAACAAGCACUACAACUUAUGUCCAGAGAGACUGUAAUGGAAUAUUAUAACUUUCAUGGAAACAGCUUUAAUGAAAAAGACUUUGAGCAAACAUCAUAAAACUCUGCCAAAUUCUGGAAAAACCGUUACUAAUGUCCCUAGCAGAUUGUCUUCAAAACAGGCCUCAACCUCCAUCGGGUCAGAGCUUCCUGCACUUUCACCAGAUGUAGUGAGUUUAAAUUCUGUUGUUAAAACAAAUCCUGGAAAGAAGAGGCCCAAAACUGUGACAAUAUCAAAAAGGUCAAGUGUUGGAAGCAUGUCUCAGGAUCAAUGGGAUCGACCAGUUAUUCCACCAAGAAGGCCAGGCUUAAGGGUGUGCUAUAUCUGUGGCAGAGAGUUUGGUUCAAAAUCUCUUCCUAUUCAUGAACCACAAUGCCUGGAGAAGUGGCAUAUUGAAAAUGACAAACUACCAAAACAUCUCAGGAGACCACCACCAGUAAAACCUCAGGCUCUUCCUGGAAAGUCUUCUGGUAUAGUGGCUGAAAAUGAAGCAGCAGCUCAAAGUUUUCAAGCUCAGCUCCAGCCCUGUCAAAACUGUGGUCGCACUUUCCUCCCAGAUCGCCUCCUUGUACAUCAAAAGAGUUGCAAACUGAAGUCUAAUCCAGGUUCUUUAAAGUCCAAAUUGCUUACAUCUACAUCAGACAAGUCUCCCAUGAUAAGGCGGCCUCCUACAGUUAUUUGUUAUAUUUGUGGCCGUGAGUAUGGAACCCAUUCCAUAGGCAUCCAUGAGCCACAGUGCCUGAACAAAUGGCAUAUUGAGAACAAUCAACUGCCAAAGCAUUUGCGAAGACCUGAACCUGUAAAGCCAGUUGUCAGUUCCAUAGGAGCCAAAGGUUACUAUGAUCUUGAUGCUUUAAAUGAGUCUGCUUGGCAAAGUGCCCAGAGCCAGCUAGUUCCAUGCAAUAUUUGUGGCCGUACCUUCCUGCCAGACAGACUGAUUGUCCAUCAGCGGUCCUGUAAACCAAAGAUACCAAAAUAAAGCUCUCCUCAUGUUAAGGACUUAAAGAACAAAAUUGUUCUCUCGCCUCUAGAACAAAAGUUUCGACACUGAAGAAUCAUUGAACUAUAUAGAAUUAUUCCAAGUCUGCUCUGCAUAAAAUUAAUGUACUAUUGAUUAUGUGAGUGACAUAUGGGACAUGGGGCACCUGACAGUGUUUUGCAGCAAUUAUUGAUGAGUGGCUCAUAAGGACAAAAAGAACCUUUAUGGAAACCUCUGCAAGAUGGAGCCUUCACAGAAAGGACAGUGGCCUUCAUGCUAUUCAUUGAUUACUGUUCUUCUAAGUAUUGCAAUGUCUGUUAAGAAAUGGUUUUGUCUGAUAGACUCCUCAUUUAGUAAAUCAUGUAUAAGAAUGUUUAUUUUUAGUAAUGAAUUUUCUGUUUAAGAGAUCAAUCGGCAGCAACAUAAGGACCAUAAAAGUUUUGAUAGCCUUCAUCAAAAGUUAUAAUGUUAUGCAGAAGGUUUGCUGCUCUUUGAGAUUCCCAGUUUGAAGGGGAGAAGACAGAAUUCAAAGUGCCAGAAAAAAGGAUGGAUGAUGCUGGAAUUCUCUUCAGAAUUCAGACUGUAUCUGCUUAGAUAAAAUGUUUUAAGAAGCUGAUGGUUAUUGGAAAAUAAGUGCUGAAAUCCAAUCCUGGAUAUUAAAUAAUACCAUAAAGACAUCUGCAAUAAAGGAAAGAAUAAUAUAUUUUGAGUUUUCAUCUUCAUGUCCUAAAGCUGCUUGUAGGUAUUUAUAACAAAUUGGACAAUUUUGAGAAAAUUGUCACCAGCAUCUGUUUUCAAAUGAAGUGUGCUGGAGGUCUCAUGCAAUGAAGGAAGCUAGCUGAGAGCCAAUUGUUUCUCACUGCUGAGCUAUCAUGUUUGCCUUCUAAUGAAAACAAGAAUAAUAUUAAAAGUUAUGAUAUAUAUGUAUUUAAAAAAUCAAAAUCACCUAGCCUGAAAAGAAGUUUAUUUAAAAUGGUCCACAAAUUCCAUAUUAUUUGAGAAAAAUACUUUUUUUAGGUCUAUUAGUGAUAUUUCAGUAAACCUUUUAAUCUGUAUGAAGGGAAAACAGAUUCAAUGUAUUAAGUCUAUAGGCCAGUUCCUCUUCUAAAAUUCUGCACUGCAUAAAUCCAAAUGAAAACCCAUGACUCUAAGGCAUUCAUUUCAAGCCAUGGAAGAAUUUUCUUAGGGCUAUGAGUACAUAUGAAUAUCACUGAAAAGAGAAAGCAGAGAUCUUAUGUUUUUUAUGCAAUCAUGCAGUUAGAGUUUAGAACUAAUAGGCUGAAGUCCUGGAUAUUACAGCUCAGGCACCCUGGCAUUCACAUAGUGCUUUCCAGGGACCUACAAGUCUUCUUUGCGUACAAUAAUUCCCAUUUGUCUUCUGAAAUGUGGGCGAUGCUAUUAAAAAAGUCAAGAUGAUGUCAGCCCUGCCCUUUUGCUAUAUGCAUCCUAAAUGUAGCACAUUUCUUUACCUCCUUUGUCUUUUCCUUUAUUCCCGUACCUCCUCUGUCU